rnacentral:rRNA from 1 species
CAGCGACUUAUAUUCUGUAGCAAGGUUAACCGAAUAGGGGAGCCGGAGGGAAACCGAGUCUUAAUUGGGCGUUAAGUUGCAGGGUAUAGACCCGAAACCCGGUGAUCUAGCCAUGGGCAGGUUGAAGGUUGGGUAACACUAACUGGAGGACCGAACCGACUAAUGUUGAAAAAUUAGCGGAUGACCUGUGGCUGGGGGUGAAAGGCCAAUCAAACCGGGAGAUAGCUGGUUCUCCCCGAAAGCUAUUUAGGUAGCGCCUCGUGAAUUCAUCUCCGGGGGUAGAGCACUGUUUCGGCUAGGGGGCCAUCCCGGCUUACCAACCCGAUGCAAACUGCGAAUACCGGAGAAUGUUAUCACGGGAGACACACGGCGGGUGCUAACGUCCGUCGUGAAGAGGGAAACAACCCAGACCGCCAGCUAAGGUCCCAAAGUCAUGGUUAAGUGGGAAACGAUGUGGGAAGGCCCAGACAGCCAGGAUGUUGGCUUAGAAGCAGCCAUCAUUUAAAGAAAGCGUAAUAGCUCACUGGUCGAGUCGGCCUGCGCGGAAGAUGUAACGGGGCUAAACCAUGCACCGAAGCUGCGGCAGCGACACUGUGUGUUGUUGGGUAGGGGAGCGUUCUGUAAGCCUGCGAAGGUGGCCUGUGA